rnacentral:rRNA from 1 species
UACGUAGGGUCCGAGCGUUGUCCGGAGUUACUGGGCGUAAAGGGCGCGCAGGCGGCGGUGCUGGCCCGGCGUGAAAGCCCCCGGCUCAACCGGGGAGGGUCGUCGGGGACCGCACCGCUUGAGGGCGGUAGGGGCUGGUGGAAUGCCUGGUGUAGUGGUGAAAUGCGUAGAGAUCAGGCGGAACACCCGUGGCGCAAGCGGCCACCUAGCCCGUUGCUGACGCUGAGGCGCGACAGCGUGGGGAGCGAACUGG